UUAAUGAAGUGUUAAUUUUGCACACUGACCACUGGUACCCUUUGACGGUUUUUGAAGCAAGAACAGGGGUUAGAUGACGGUUCGGAAGGUUGGGAGUUCGCACCUAUUACAAAGAGCGGGCCAACAGCACAACCAAACGACGCAGCCCAAAUACCCUCCAUUUCUCAAGCACCCCACCGUCUCGCUCUCAGACCCUCCGCCAUCUUCUUCUCCGACCUUCAAAUGCAUUGUCGACUUUUACGAAGACCCUGCCCUGGCGACAUUCAUCAAUGGGACCAGAACCCGGUAUUUGUGUUCAGCCAUCUUCAUGUCUAGCCCGUCAUCCAGUUCUCAUUGAUACAACGAACCUCCCGGGACUGCCAAAGAUUUCGCUGUCAACAAUAUUUGCAAAGUAAGUUCAAACUUUUCCAUCCUCUUUCCCCAAUCUUCAUCAAAUACAAUCUUACAUUAGUAGAGACUUAGGCAUCGUAUAUGUCUGCUCUUUAAUGGAUGCCAAGUGUCAACACCUACAUCAGACUUAUCCCUUAAAAGAAUUUCAAUUGUUGAUGUUUUGCACACCAAUUGUUCGAUGAAAUUACUCAAUAUUUCUGGGUGCUGAAUUUUAGGGCUUUCGUUUCCCUUGGUGCGAAGUGACCACAAAUUAGCCAGUUUAAGUUACGAGUUUUUUUGGGUACGUUUUGGCUUCAUGUGGAGCAAGCCCGACUCCAUUCCCUUAAACUCAUAACCGGUACCCAUUUGUUUAUGUUAGGUUUACCUUCUAAUUGACUGAAUCUAGCAUCUUUUUCCUGCACCAGUCCUGUCUUAGGAGUGGAGUUUUAUAUAUAUUUUUUGAUCUGCGGAGUUUUAUAUUUGAAAAGUGAGUAUUCAAUGCUGGACAAAGCAUGUUGGUAUUCAAAUCUUCUCCUCUAUUUUCUAGAAUGAUGUAUAACUUUGUUAUGUGCAGUUGCCUUAACCCUACUUGUAACGUCCAAACCACAAUGGGUUCACCUAUGUUGGAGAUUGAUAAGACAUGUUAGAGCCCUUGAAUAGAAAAGAAUAAGUUUGGUCUUUAAUAUAUAUUGCUUUAACCUACACCUUAUAGGCUUAAGUUAAGUGGAUAUGAAUGGCAAACAUCGUAGAAUAGGCCAAGGUGCAAUUAAGAAAUCAUAUUGGCACCAUCUAUCACUACAUCCGAGUGUACAUCUGCAUAACAUUGCCUAGGCUAUACGUUGUUCUUAUGCAACCUCAAUGGACUUCCAUAUAUUCUGAUUGUCAACUGCUGCAAAACUCUUGGACUCGAAGUUGGAUUUAACUAAGUAUUGUCGGGCCCGUUUUCUUGUGAUCUUACGUAUAUUUUAUAUUGGAGUUCCGCAUGGAGCAGCCCCUACGUAUAGUUUGGUUCUUACGAUUUUGUCCAUUUUGGCCCUGGAACAUCACCUGGUUAUGGAGACUAUGCUUAUUAAUUGGAAUAAUCCUCGGUCAGCAGCAGAAUCUUUAGCGUGUUAAGGGUGAAAAUGACUUUCUAAGUAAGUGUUUUUUAUACAUAGAGUUAUGUGUUUUAUUAUGGCAGGAAUUUAGUCUUCAGGAAUUUGCAGAUCAAUGGUUUGGAAACAAAGUUGAUUAUGGAAAAGGCAGGCAGAUGACCGUUAUGGGUCCACUAAACCCAAUUAUGUCAAUGUUUCAUCAGGUUGCAUAAGGUAUAUAAUGUUGUAUAUUUUGGAAAUCGGCACAAAGGGUAAUAUUGAACUUCGUUUAGAUGUAAUAGAGAACCCCAGUCAAAAUAGCUGGUUACUGUAUUGCAAUACACAACUAUACACAACUUCCCCAUGCUGUUGGAACUGCAUAUGCUAUGAAGAUGGAUGGAUGAGAUGCAUGCACAGUCACCUUUUUCGGGGAAGCUAGCACCAGUGAGAUAAGUAUGUAAUUAUGUAAGAUAAUCUGUUUCCCGUUUUGUUUGAUUUAUAAUCAUUUUAUCAUUAGAUCAAUAGGAGUCUCGGAAUUUCCAUUUAGAUAUCCCGUAUUUCUUAGAAAAAUCUUGUUUCCAUUUGUUAAGCUUAGCAUACUAGCUAGCCUUCUCUUGAUAUGACUUGGUCUAAAGAGACUUCGUUCGAUUUGCAAUUAUCUUCGUUUUGACCCUCAAGUUUAAUGGUUGUGUGUGUAUGAAUCAACAUCUAUCCUCUUUAGUCAGUAAGGUUGAGGAAUAGAAGGUAAUGGCUGAUGCCAUGUGUCUACCUCCAUGAGUGCAUGAUAUUGCAGAAUUCAAGUAUAGUCACGGGCCUCAUGGCUUUAAAUUCCUAUUCAUGCUUUUCUAGACUACAAAAAGUUAAGAAAAUCUCGAUUUGCAAUUGUUUCAUUCAAAUGAACAGUUUUUUGGCCAUUAGAUGAAGUGAUUUCAUGGCUGUUAUAUGUCAUAUUAAUAACAAAAUCCAAUCUAGGUGAAUUCGUCAUAUUAUCACCUAAUUUUUAAUAUCGUCAAUCUCAUAUUAUCACCUAAUUUUAAUAGAAGAUCCUGUUAGGGAGAUUUUCAAAUGGCUUUUAUUUUUGUGGCGGUUAUUGAGGCCCGAGUUAUUUUCAGUAGCCAGAACAACGGUGGGCCAUCAACACCCCUAUCUCAGAUUAAUGUGAAAGUGUUUUACCUCUUUGCUUUCCCUCUUGACGUUCCCUUUUCCCAGGAUACAUUGUUGUUCUGGGUUUUUAUUCAUUGCUAUGGUAUUGCUGUUAGAGGACAGGCAUAUGGAGUUCGUACUUUUUGUGUCAAUGGUAAAGAUGCUCUUGUCAUCUUUAGUGCAGUUGAAGCAACAUGUAGGAUAGCCGUAAAUGAGCAUAGGUCUAUCUAGCUUGAUGUAACCUAAUGAAUCAGUUUUUAUCAUUACUUGUAAUGCGAAAAGGAGUUAGAGAAGAUUUCGUUUAGAGUUUUUGAAGUUAGUUGCAUCACACUUGCGAAGUUUUGAUUCAUUUUUCAAUGGAUAGACCAGGAAAUCACUCCUCUUCAGGUGAUUCCACCAAAUAUCAUCCAGAUGAAGUGAUCAACUGAUGGAGAGAGCAAGACCCUGUGUCCAGAUUUUGAAAAUGAAUUGAAACUAAUGGUUUGUUGAGUGAUGAGGCCGAGUCCAAGCGUCGAACCUCUAUCAAGAACGAGGAUACAUCAAAGACAUAAAAAAGGAGCAGCUCAAAAUCACCCCGUGGAACGGUAAUCGUCCAGUCCUACCCCUUACAAUCUUUACUUAUAUAUUCUUAUGAUGUAAUAUUUGUGACUUCUAUGAUUGGGACAACAUUUUCGGGACCCAUGUCCAUACUUGCCUUGGUAUGCAUUCGCGUGUCUAUUAAUUAGUUCAACCCCCCCACCAAACUGAAGUACGCAAAACAUGCCUAACACAAAGCUGGAAAAUUCAAAACAUAUCAAUUUGUCAUCGUCAAGCAAUUACAUGGGCAUGAAACGUUGUUAGAUAUUCAGCUUACAAUGACUGUUAAGAGCUGAUUAUAGAUAGAUGGUCUAACGUAGGCAAGCUCAUUAGGUCAACACGGACUCCUUGUGCAUGAUGUGAUUUUUUUGGUCUGGAGACUGAAAUUUAUAAGAAAUUUCUUUAAUACUUUGAUUGUUAAUUUUACAGAGCCCACGUGCGUAAAGACUAGUGUUUCCCUAUGAUGCCAUAAUGCCAGCAUGUAGAGUGGCUUUCUUUUAAAAAAUGAGUAUCAUUUAAAAUGAUAUGAGCUUGAAUAUGUUUCUUGGAAAUGAUGAAUACUCCACAUAAUAUAUGAUAUUUGAGUUUGUUAUAAAUAUAGGUAAUUGAGAAAUUCGCAAAGAUUGAUAUGCUUCUCAAAGUCAAGGGGUAGAUGAAGAGGAGAAGUUCGAAGUCCAAGUACACAAGAACAAUGAAGGUAUCAUCGGUUUGAAUCAGAUGGAGCAUUAUAAUUCUUGGACUCAUUCAAAAGUAAGAAUCAUGCAGCCGCUUGACAAACUAAUAACAUUUGGUGUUAUCACCCCUACUCUUUUUGGCCGUUAGAAGGGUCUUUGUAUUCUUUUUUAUGCUUUCAAGUAAUUGAGGGGUCCAACAGGAUGGCAGUGUUUAUGUGCCACUUGGAUCCUUGUGUCCGUUUGAAAAUGCUGGAACUGCUUCCCAACUGUUGUAUGCUAAUAUAGGUUUUUUGAACUAAGGAAAUAAGCUUCUAAAUUGUAACAACUACUGAAUUUGGCAUUUGAAAUGCAGAAACUAUUAUUCUAAA